rfam:Danio rerio chromosome 9, GRCz11 reference primary assembly.
GCCGGCUGCUAGCUCUCUGCAACUCUCACAUGGUCGCCCACUGAAGCUAAGCAGGGCCUCUCCUGAUCAGUACCUGGAUGGGAGACCACAUGGGAAAACUAGGUUGCUUCCGGAA